UAGGGAAUAUCGGUAAUGGGCGAAAGCCUGAACCAGCAACGCCGCGUGUGCGAUGAAGGCCUUCGGGUUGUAAAGCACUUUUUGAGGGGGAUGAGGUAGGACAGUACCCUCAGAAUAAGUCUCGGCUAACUACGUGCCAGCAGCCGCGGUAACACGUAGGAGACAAGCGUUAUUCGGAUUUACUGGGCGUAAAGCGCGUGCAGGCGGUCUGGUAAGUUGGAUGUGAAAGCUCCUGGCUCAACUGGGAGAGGUCGUUCAAUACUGUCAGACUAGAGAGUGGGAGAGGGAGGUGGAAUUCCGGGUGUAGUGGUGAAAUGCGUAGAUAUCCGGAGGAACACCAGUGGCGAAAGCGGCCUCCUGGCCCAUUCUGACGCUUAGACGCGAAAGCUAGGGUAGCAAA
rnacentral:rRNA from 1 species